CCUUAGCAACUAUUUUCUUAUCUUUCGUUUCCUGCCACAAUUUGCAUAUUUGUUUAUCUGCGUGUUUUUUUCAACUCUCCGGACAUGUUUUCCCUGCCUCCACCUCUCUCUCUCUCUUUCAAACACUCUCCUCUAUCUGUCUUUGUCCGUUAUUCUGCACAUCUAUGGCAAGUUAGGAGCUUUUCCAAGUUGGUUUGCUCUGUUUAAUGAACUGUACAUGUAGAAAUUAUAUUUUGCCAAACAAGCAAGCGAACAGAGAUACAUCUACACGUUCACAUUCACAUAUCUCUGAAUACACACACAGUCAAACACACAUGUACCUAAUAGGUACUACCUAUACAUAUUUUAAUUUUUGCUUGAAUGCAUUACCAAUGUGUGGUGUCUUUAGUGUAUUUCGAUUGGUUCAUUUAACCCAGCCGCGCUACAAUUGAUUUGGAUUUUAGUAUAUCAAUUUUAUUAUUGAAAUUGAUGAGUCCUGCCAUUUGGUUGCGCUGGAGAGCAAAAAGAGAAGGAUGAGAAUGGUAAGAAGAGCAAAAAAAAAGGAGAGGAUGCGAAACCAAACUGCCUCAACUUGAUAUGCUAUUAGCUGCCUUGCUCUUACUUCAGGUCUUCGUUUGCAUUCGCCACGAAGAUGAAAUAACACCACUUCCGUUCAGGCACUAAUGCGCAUUGAUUUUCACAUUUCCACUGGCGUCAUUUUCCAUUGUUAUAUUACACUUUCCUACCUAUUGUUGUUGUUGUUGUUGUUCUUGUUAUUUAGCAAACAUUUUGCCGUUCAUCUAAUAGCUACGGAUGUGGUUAAAAGCAUUUGCCCGAACCUUCCCUUUUUCAUAGACCAUUAAAUUUGCAUUUGCUGCUGACUGGCGCGAUUGGCAGACAGGCAAGUAAGCAGCCAUUCAAAUGUGCAGACGGGCAGGUGAAAUACGAAACCAAGAACAAGAAUGUUAAGUUCAAUGAUGAAGAACUGAAGAAGACAAGCGUUUCCCAACUAAAUAUUUAAGUAGGCAACGUGUUUCUACUAAACAGCAAACUGAUCACAUUCUAUUUCAUUCCAAAUUUGAAGUCUGAGCGAACGGA